rnacentral:rRNA from 1 species
UACGAAGGGGGCUAGCGUUGCUCGGAAUCACUGGGCGUAAAGCGCACGUAGGCGGACUCUUAAGUCGGUGGUGAAAUCCUGGAGCUCAACUCCAGAACUGCCUUCGAUACUGAGAGUCUCGAGUCCGAGAGAGGUGAGUGGAACUGCGAGUGUAGAGGUGAAAUUCGUAGAUAUCAGGAGGAACACCGGUGGCGAAGGCGACUUCCUGGACACCAACUGACGCUGAGACGCGAAAGCGUGGGGAGCAAACAGG